rnacentral:lncRNA from 1 species
GAAACUUGGAAUGUUAUGACCUGAAGGGACCUCAAGGAUCACAGCACAAUAGGAUUUGAAGAUUCAAAUUAUAUUCUCAAGAAUUCCAGUGCCUGGUGUACUGCUUAUCCCAAGCUUUCACAUGCAUACUCUUAGAAAUGUUGAAGACUGCAGUCCAUAAGGUAUGUGAAAUAAAUGUUAAGGUUCUUCCUGAAAUUUUCCAGCUUGGAAUAUCAUGUAUAUGAAAAUUGACUAAGUUCAGAA